GAUGAACGCUGGCGGCGUGCCUAAUACAUGCAAGUCGAGCGAACGGACGAGAAGCUUGCUUCUCUGAUGUUAGCGGCGGACGGGUGAGUAACACGUGGAUAACCUACCUAUAAGACUGGGAUAACUUCGGGAAACCGGAGCUAAUACCGGAUAAUAUUUUGAACCGCAUGGUUCAAAAGUGAAAGACGGUCUUGCUGUCACUUAUAGAUGGAUCCGCGCUGCCUUAGCUAGUUGGUAAGGUAACGGCUUACCAAGGCAACGAUGCAUAGCCGACCUGAGAGGGUGAUCGGCCACACUGGAACUGAGACACGGUCCAGACUCCUACGGGAGGCAGCAGUAGGGAAUCUUCCGCAAUGGGCGAAAGCCUGACGGAGCAACGCCGCGUGAGUGAUGAAGGUCUUCGGAUCGUAAAACUCUGUUAUUAGGGAAGAACAUAUGUGUAAGUAACUGUGCACAUCUUGACGGUACCUAAUCAAAAAGCCACGGCUAACUACGUG
rnacentral:rRNA from 1 species